rnacentral:rRNA from 1 species
UAUAAUGGGUCAGCGACUUAUAUUCUGUAGCAAGGUUAACCGUAUAGGGGAGCCGCAGGGAAACCGAGUCUUAACUGGGCGUUAAGUUGCAGGGUAUAGACCCGAAACCCGGUGAUCUAGCCAUGGGCAGGUUGAAGGUUGGGUAACACUAACUGGAGGACCGAACCGACUAAUGUUGAAAAAUUAGCGGAUGACUUGUGGCUGGGGGUGAAAGGCCAAUCAAACCGGGAGAUAGCUGGUUCUCCCCGAAAGCUAUUUAGGUAGCGCCUCGUGAACUCAUCUUCGGGGGUAGAGCACUGUUUCGGCUAGGGGGUCAUCCCGACUUACCAACCCGAUGCAAACUACGAAUACCGAAGAAUGUUAUCACGGGAGACACACGGCGGGUGCUAACGUCCGUCGUGAAGAGGGAAACAACCCAGACCGCCAGCUAAGGUCCCAAAGUCACAGUUAAGUGGGAAACGAUGUGGGAAGGCACAGACAGCCAGGAUGUUGGCUUAGAAGCAGCCAUCAUUUAAAGAAAGCGUAAUAGCUCACUGGUCGAGUCGGCCUGCGCGGAAGAUGUAACGGGGCUAAACUGUGCACCGAAGCUGCGGCAGCGACACUAUGUGUUGUUGGGUAGGGGAGCGUUCUGUAAGCCUGCGAAGGUGGCCUGUGAGGGUUGCUGGAGGUAUCAGAAGUGCGAAUGCUGACAUAAGUAACGAUAAUGCGGGUGAAAAGCCCGCACGCCGGAAGACCAAGGGUUCCUGUCCAACGUUAAUCGGGGCAGGGUGAGUCGACCCCUAAGGCGAGGCCGAAAGGCGUAGUCGAUGGGAAACAGGUUAAUAUUCCUGUACUUGGUGUUACUGCGAAGGGGGGACGGAGAAGGCUAUGUUAGCCGGGCGACGGUUGUCCCGGUUUAAGCAUGUAGGCGGAGGUUCCAGGUAAAUCCGGUACCUUUUUAACGCUGAGGUGUGAUGACGAGGCACUACGGUGCUGAAGUAACAAAUGCCCUGCUUCCAGGAAAAGCCUCUAAGCAUCAGGUAACAUUAAAUCGUACCCCAAACCGACACAGGUGGUCAGGUAGAGAAUACCAAGGCGCUUGAGAGAACUCGGGUGAAGGAACUAGGCAAAAUGGUGCCGUAACUUCGGGAGAAGGCACGCUGAUAUGUAGGUGAAGCCCCUGCGGGUGGAGCUGAAAUCAGUCGAAGAUACCAGCUGGCUGCAACUGUUUAUUAAAAACACAGCACUGUGCAAACACGAAAGUGGACGUAUACGGUGUGACGCCUGCCCGGUGCCGGAAGGUUAAUUGAUGGGGUUAUCCGUAAGGAGAAGCUCUUGAUCGAAGCCCCGGUAAACGGCGGCCGUAACUAUAACGGUCCUAAGGUAGCGAAAUUCCUUGUCGGGUAAGUUCCGACCUGCACGAAUGGCGUAAUGAUGGCCAGGCUGUCUCCACCCGAGACUCAGUGAAAUUGAACUCGCUGUGAAGAUGCAGUGUACCCGCGGCAAGACGGAAAGACCCCGUGAACCUUUACUAUAGCUUGACACUGAACAUUGAGCCUUGAUGUGUAGGAUAGGUGGGAGGCUUUGAAGCGUGGACGCCAGUCUGCGUGGAGCCAACCUUGAAAUACCACCCUUUAAUGUUU